rnacentral:rRNA from 1 species
UACGUAGGGCGCGAGCGUUGUCCGGAAUUAUUGGGCGUAAAGAGCUCGUAGGCGGUUUGUCGCGUCGGUUGUGAAAACCCAAGGCUCAACCUUGGGCCUGCAAUCGAUACGGGCAGACUAGAGUACUGCAGGGGAGACUGGAAUUCCUGGUGUAGCGGUGGAAUGCGCAGAUAUCAGGAGGAACACCGGUGGCGAAGGCGGGUCUCUGGGCCGGAACUGACGCUGAGGAGCGAAAGCGUGGGGAGCGAACAGG